GCCCUUAUAGCUCAGUGGUAGAGCGCAGCACUCGUAAAAGCACAGCCCCGUGCGAUAUGCUGAGGUCCAUAGUUCGAUCCUGUGUGGGGGCA
rfam:Tulasnella calospora MTT 4182 unplaced genomic scaffold scaffold_24, whole genome shotgun sequence.